UGAAAACAUCUGUGGAGGAUUUACCUUCAGAACUUACAGCUGUUAUGAGAAAAGGUUCUGUUCUCCGUAAUCUCCUCAAAGUCCAGGGGGAAGGACAAAACACCAGAUAUCUUGGGUUCAUAUCUGCAAUGGAUUGAGAGUCAAUGUAAACGGCAACCCUAACCGCCUACCCCCCGCUACCACUCAAGUAAACACCCGCCAUCUCACCCUCCACCCUAUGCCUUACACUAACCAGCCAGCCCAGGGUGUUCCUUAUUUCCAGUUCUGAAAGUUGGCAACCCUAAGUUCUAAUCAUAUUUAUUAUUAUUUUAAUAUUGUAACAUUAAAUUUAUAUAAAAUAAUAAUAA